rnacentral:rRNA from 1 species
AGCGUAGACGGUGUGGCAAGUCUGAUGUGAAAGGCAUGGGCUCAACCUGUGGACUGCAUUGGAAACUGUCAUACUUGAGUGCCGGAGGGGUAAGCGGAAUUCCCAGUGUAGCGGUGAAAUGCGUAGAUAUUAGGAGGAACACCAGUGGCGAAGGCGGCUUACUGGACGGUAACUGACGUUGAGGCUCGAAAGCGUGGGAGCAAACA